AUUAAAAAUUUGAAAUCAAUAAAUUUUUGUUAUUAUUAAACAUCAAUCACAUAUUUUUAAUAUCAUAAUUUGUUCAUUGAAAGAAUGAUAUUUUUUAUUUAAAAAAGAUAUAUUUAACAACAAAUUUCCAUCAAUGUAAUUAAAAUUUUAUUUUUAAAUCACUUAAAGCUAGUUUCAAAGUUAGCAUUGAGUAAAAUUUGCAAAAAUUUAAAAUAAACUUAAUAUUUGAGUUUGUAUUUUAGAACUAUAGUUUUAUUUUCCAUUAAUUAAAAGAUUUAAUUAUUUAAAUGAUAAUCUAUUAUCAAAAUUCAAAAAUUUUUCUUCAUUCAUAAUUUUAAUUUUUAAAUAUUUUUUUCAUUGGAUAUUAUUAAUUUUAUAAGAGAUUUUAUGCUUGUGUUCACAAAUUAUAACAUGAAUUCUAUUCUUUCCCCAUUAUUUAUAUCAAUGUUGAGAUCAUAAUAUAUUAUUAUUUGUUAUCAAAACUUAUUUUUCAUAUAUUACUUGAAAGUAAUAAAAAUAUAAUCAAUUUGAUAAAAGUUAUAUAAGAUGGAAGUCAUUAUAAAACAUAAAAGUUUCCAAUGUGCAAGUUCAACUAAACAAGAUUAUAGAAAAGUAGUGUCAAAAUAAUUUCAUCAAAUAUGAAGUUAAAUAAGAAAUUCAACAAUUCUUUAAACUAAAUUAUAAUUUAUUUGUUUAUUAUUCUUAUUCCAAGAAUAUUGAUAUUUUGAAAGACAUAUUUCUGAAAAUAUAUCAUCUUUAUAUGUAAAUUUUGUUUGUUAAUAUUUAUAACUUUUCACAUAUAUAUUCAAAUGAAAAAGCUUUAUUCUACAUUAAAUUUAUAAAUAAAUUUAAAAUUGAAUGGAAAAAAAACUCACUUAUUGAUAUAGCAAUACAUACCUAUCAAAAAGUAAAAAAGAAUAUCAAAAAUUCAAAAUUUUGUUUUAAUUUUAAAAUAUAUAUUUUUUAAUAUUGUAUAAAUAUUAAAAAUAAAAAAAAUCAUAAUUAUUAAACAUAUUAUGUUAAUCAAAUUUGGAUGGAUUUUUUUUAUAUAUGAACAAUAUGAUGAUUUAUUCAAAAAAUAAAUGAAUUUUAAUGCUACAAACGAUAAUUGAAAAUUGAAUGUCCAUAUUAGUGAUGAGAACUGUAAGUAAAUCAUGUUGAGCAAAAAUCGCAUGCAUAUAAAUGCUUCUAGUAGCAUAGUUCUUAAGAUAAGUAGAAAUUUUUUUGGUUUUCGUUAGUAAAGAGCUAUAUUCGGGUUCUAAUGUGGGUAUUCGUCCGAAUAUAAGUUAGUAAGUUACACAUGAAUACCACUAGUGAGUUCACACGAGUGAAUUGAGAGGGAUUUAGGUUGUGCAAUCGGUCGACGGAUUGAAGCAGCUUGACUUUAAUCAAGAAUUUCAAGAUGUUUUACUCGUUUAAACAUCAUAAAUCAAAUAAAAUUUUCAUUCAUAAGUCACAUUUAAUCAUGUAUUUGAUCAGAUCAAAUUUUUUUUAUGAGUUUUGAUUAAAUUUUGUUGAAUAAAAAAAAAUAUUUUUUUUCAAUUAGAGUUUCCAAAUACUAAUUCUAUUUAUUUAUGCAUAAAUACAAAUAUCUUUUGGUGAAAUUUUAUGUUGUGUGAAAGUUCAAAAGAUUUAAAGUCCAAAAUGAAUAAAUUUUCAUCUUAAGGUUGAUAUAAUAUUGAAAUUGAAUGAGGUUCACAUAGAUUAACAAAUAUGAUGAAAUCAAAACAAGCCAUUUUAAUUCAUUGGCUAAUUCAUAAUUUUUAAAAAUUCAUCAAUUAUGAAUAUAUAUAUAAAAAUAUAUUAAAAGAAUAAUAUUUUAAGAUUAUGAAAAAUCUGAUUUUUUAUAUAUUUUUAAAUAUAAUUUUUAAUUUAUUUAUAUUUUGAUAAAUAUAAAUAAUUUAUAUUUAACAUAUAUAUAUAUAUGUAACAUUGAAUAAAAUAAAAAAAUAUUUUUUUCAAAUAUUUAUAACUAUUUUUUUGAAAAUAAUUUAAUUUAUAUAUUCAAAUAAUUAUUAUUUGAAUUUAAAAUUUGUUUGAAAUUAAACAUAUCAAUUAAUUUGGAUUUCUAAAUGAAUUUAGAUUUAAAAUUUAUGCAUCAUUCAUAUUUUGAAAUUAUUAUUUUUAAUUUUUAACAUUCAUACAUCGUGAAUUCUCUUUCAAAAUAGGAUUUAGAAUUUUGAUUCACUAUGCAAUUGCACUAUUUCAUAUCAAAAGAUAUUAUGCAAGUUUGAUAUAAGGACAAUUAAUAUGUCAAAAUUUCAAACAAAAUUUUGAGAAAAAAUGCAAGCAAAACAUCUCAAAAAUACUUGAUAUUAUACUUCAAUCCACCAUUUUCUAUUAAAAAUUUAUUUAUUUAUUCAUGAUAAAAUAAAAUAAAUUUUAUAUUGUAUUAAAUGGCGAGCAAACCGGGAGAAGCCCAGCUUGAAAAUCGUGUCGCUUCACUGGGCGAAUUGUAGUAUGGAGAAGCGUCCUCUACUGCGGACUUGGCCCAAGUCCCAUGGAAAGGGUCGGAGAGGGUGAGAACCAUAUCGGGCCGAGACCUUGCAGUUCCACGAGGCGCUAUUAACGAGUCAAACUGUUUGGAAAUGCAUCCCUAAGCUAGAGGUAAAUUCCUUCCAAGGCUAAAUAUUGGCGGGAGACCAAUAGCGAACAUGUACCUCGAGGGAAAGAUGAAAAUGACUUUGAAAAGAGAGUUAAAAAUUGCUUGAAAUUACUGGGAGGUAAGCAAAUGGAGGCCUCGUGUGCGCCCUAGUCAGAUGCAAAAUGGCGUGAAGCUGGUCCGCUGCUUGACGCGGGGUGCUGGUCAGCGUGGGCUAUUACGGAGGAAGAAAUGUCGGCCUUUAGUGGCCGGCCGCUGCCAUCAAGAUGAUAGAGGAAUUGAAGCGGGCAUUCCUCGGGGGCCACCAGUGCACUCGAGAUGUUGACGUAGUGGACUUUUCAUCCGACCCAUCUUGAAACUCGGACCAAGGAGUCUAACAUGCAUGCAAACCAAUGGGCGGCAAACCCACGUGACGCACAAAUAACUUAACUGGUGUGAUCCUCCUCUGUGGGAUGCAACAUUGACCGACCAUGAGCUUAUGCGAAAGAUUCGAGUAAGAGCAUGCAUGUUGGGAUCCGAAAGAUGGUGAACUAUGCAUAACCAUGGUGAAGUCAGAGGAAACUUUGGUGGAGGCUUGUAGCAAUACUGACAUGCAAAUUGUUUGUCAGACUUGGGUAUAGGGACGAAAGACUAAUCAAACCAUCUAGUAGCUGGUUCCCUUGGGAAGUUUCCCUCAGGAUAGUUGGAGCACGAGGAGAUUCAUCAGGUAAAGCAAAUGAUUAGAGGCAUCGGGAAUGAAACACCCUCGACCUAUUUUUAAACUUUAAAUAGUUGAGAUCCGACGAGGUUGCUUAAUUGAACCCCCCACGGAGAAUCCGAUGAUCAUGACAAUGACAAUGAUCAUGGAAGUCGAAAUCCACUAAGGAGUGUGUAACAACUCAUAUGACGAAUCGAUUAGCCCCGAAAAUGGAUGGUACUGAAACGCGAGGCAUACACUCGGCCAUCGUGGGCAAUUUUGUAAAGCCCCAAUGAGUAGGAGGGCGCGGGGAUCAUGGCGCAGCCUCGGGCCCGAGUACUGAAAUGGCCCCUGUGCAGAUCUUGGUGGUAGUAACAAAUAUUCAAAUUACAACUUUGAAGACUGAAGUGGAGAAAGGUUAUGUGUGAACAUCAAUUGGACACGGAUUAGUUGAUCCUAAGAGAUGGGAAAAUCUUGUGUCAAAGACGCAAUGUGCGCCGUGCAUCGAAAAGGGAUCGGAUCAAUAUUCUUGAACCAAGACGUGGGAGUGGACGGCGACGCCACCAAAACUUGAGACACCGGCGGGAGCCACGAGAAGAGUUUUCUUUUCUUUCUGACGACCCGCCCGCCCUGAAAUCGCAUUACGUGGAGAUAAGACCUAGCGGUCGGCAAAACAUCUCAUGUCUUGCGAUGUCCGUGCGUCCCUGACGUCCUUGAAAAUCCAGAGGAGCAAGUAUGCUCGGUCGUACUCAUAACCUCAUCAGGUCUCCAAGGUGAACAUCCUUUAAUCGAUAGAAUAAUGAAGGUAAGGCAAAACAGGUCUGUAACUUCGAGAAAAGGAUUGGCUCUGAGGGUCGGGUUCUAGGGUCUGCAUCUAGACCUUGCCGGACUAUCGAUGGUCUGCAUGAGUUGCUCGCACGGCAAGGGACAGUUGCAUGCUUGUCAAGAGAAGGACGUAGAAUGUCAGAUGUCUCUCCUCUCUCCUCCACCUUUGCGGGAUGGGGGGCGAGGGCUCGACUUUCCUUGGAUAGUGAACGACCAACUUAGAACUAAUACGAACAAGGGGAAUCCGACUGUUUAAUUAAAACAAAACAUUACGAUGCUCCUCAUGGAUGUUGACGCAAUGUGAUUUCUGCCCAGUUUUCUGAAUGUCAAAGUGGAAGAAAUUCAACCAAGCGCGGAUAAACGGCGGGAGUAACUAUGACUCUCUUAAGGUAGCCAAAUGCCUCGUCAUCUAAUUAGUGACACGCAUGAAUGGAUUAACGAGAUUCCCACAAUCCCUAUUUACUAUAUAGCGAAAACACAGCCAAGGAAACAUGCUUGGAAAUAUCAGCGGGGAAGAAAACCUUGUUGAGUUUGACUCUAGUCCGACUUUGUGAAAUGAAUCAAGAGGUGUAGAAUAAGUGGGAGGUCCAUGAGGGCCGCAAGUGAAAUACCACUACUUUUGACAUUAUUUUAUUUAUUCCAUGAGGUGGGGACGGGCCUAUGGUCACUCUUUUGGCCUUAAGCGUCCCGGCAACAGGGCGCGAUCCAAGUGGAAGACAUUGUCAGGUGGGAAGUUUGGAUGGGGCAGCACAUCUGUUAAAAGAUAACCCAAGUGUCCUAAGAUGAGCUCAACGAGAAUAAAAAUCUCGUGUAAAACAAAGGGUAAAAGCUCAUUUGAUUUUGAUUUUCAGUACGAAUACAAACUAUGAAAGCAUGGCAUAUCGAUCCCUUAGUCUUUCGGAAUUUGAAGUUAGAGGUGUUAGAAAAGUUACCACAGGAAUAAUUGGCUUGUGGCAGUCAAGCGUUCAUAGCGACGUUGCUUUUUGAUCCUUUGAUUUCGGCUCUUUCUAUCAUUGUGAAGCAGAAUUCACCAAGUGUGGGAUUGUUCACUUGCCAAUAGGAAACAUGAGCUGGGUUUAAACCGUCGUGCGACAUGUUAGUUUUACCCUACUGUUGACUCGGCACUGCAAUAGUAAUUUUGAUCCUUUGAUUUCGGCUCUUUCUAUCAUUGUGAAGCAGAAUUCACCAAGUGUGGGAUUGUUCACUUGGCAAUAGGAAACGUGAGCUGGGUUUAAACCGUCGUGCGACAUGUUAGUUUUACCCUACUGUUGACUCGGCACUGCAAUAGUAAUUCAACUUAGUACGAGAGGAAUCGUUGAUUCGAAUAAUUGGUAAUUCGGUUUGGUUAAAAAGCCAAUGACGUGAAGCUACCAUGCAUAGGAUUAUGACUAAACGCCUCUAAGUCAGAAUCCAUGCUAGAAGCGGCGCUUUCUAUCUCCCCGGUUUUCACCGAGUACUGGUAGGGGCGGCUCGUUCGUCCCCAAAAGCAUGUGUUGAGAGUUUCCUUGGGCCGACGGAAGAAGUCGGCUCAGAUGCUUUGAAUCGUAAUUCCAAAUAAUCAGGGAGAUGAAUCCUUUGCAGAUGACUUAAAUACGGGAUUAGGUAUUAUAAGUGGCAGAGUAGCCUUGCUGCAAUGAUCCGCUGAGAUUCAGCCUCAUGUCCCAAAGAUUUGUUUCCUUCUUUCUUCUUUUCUUUCUUCAUUUCUUUGUCUCAGAUGGGAUCAAGCCACUGGUUCGAGAUACUGACCUGAAUGAUCGUAUCUCGCUAUGACUACACGUUCCCGCACUAACUACUCUCCACCAUAGCCACACUCUCCAAGGCUCAACUUUGAAAACUGCACCGCAAGGAGCCCUAAUUUGAAUUCUAUCCCUUGAACCUUAUGUCUCCUAACAGCGUUGUUGGUCCUAAUGGUAGUUCCAGUGCAAAUGACGUUAACUACACAAUCGGCUCUAAUUGUUGUAUCUGCUCUGCAUGCGCACACAUACCUAACUAGGAAUGCCACUUCAUAAGUCGUGAUAGCUAUUGUGCACAUACAUAUCGCAUCAAAAUGUAUAUCGUUGUCACAUCAAACAUCACACUACAUAGAUCAUCAUACAUCAACACAAAUGUAUCACAAUCGUCCCCCUAACUAGCGGUUAGAUCCCUCUAACACUAGGUAGCCAUCUAGUCCAUAACAUGAUAUGACCUUUGUGCUACAAUGCCCCAUUGUUAGUUGCAUAUCUGUAAUCUAUACCAUGUUACGGUCAAACCAGCUUGCAUGUUAAUCGCAUUGAGGACAUCUUUACCGUCCACUGGGCACCACAUUGAGAGGAGGUGUCAAACAUGAAUGCCAUACUCUUGAACAAGAAUCACAAAUCAACAUACUGGCUGCUCCACUAACAAAUCCACAUAACAUACAUCUCAAGCCUGCCCGUAUUGGAUUCAUAAUACCAUAAAUGUUUGGAAGGUGACAUGGCGCACAAUUACACACAUGAUACUUCCAAAUCACACCAUCACGACCCUCUAAUACCAAAACUCAUGAAGAUAGAACCUCACAAAGUUGUAGAUAUCCCAAGAUAGCUAUGAGUAUUGAACCACUUCAUCAAUUUUUAGCCGGUGUUUUCCGCCCUCCAAAAUUCUUUGAUUCGGAUUUAAGCACUAAAAUAAAAAAAACAGAUAUUCAAAAUUGAUCACACCAACUUUGAAUUGAAUCUACUUUCAGAUCACCACCAUAGUCUUCACUCCAUCAACGCCAUGCCCACUCUACAGAAAAAAAGAUCGAAGAUACCAUAUAUCAAAACUCGCUAGAAUACUUCAAUGCUCCAAGAACUCACACCUUUCAUAACAAAAUUAAAAUUAAAUCUCUUCCACUCUCAAAACGUCCACAAGUUCACUCCACUCAUAACCAUAUCACAAAAAAGAGAUUACAAUUGAACCAAACCCACUUGUGCUUCAAAAACUCCAAGUUCUUGCACUAGCUACUAUCCACUAUAGCCACACUCUCAAAGGCUUAAUUUAGAAAACUGCAUCCUAAUAAGUCCUAAUUUGAACUUUACCCCUUGAGCCCUAGGUCUCACAAUGGAGCUGUAGGCCCAAACGGUAGAUCGAGUGCGAACGGCACUAAUUGCACUAUCGGCUCUAAGUGUUGUAUAUCCUUAUGCAUGCGAGCGCACCUAUCUAACUAGGGAUGCCGCUACAUAAGUUGUGACAUAGGUUAUCACCCACGCUAAAUUAACCAUUUACAUUACUAUCUAAAAUAUAAAUCAAAGAAAUACACUCCUGAUGUAUUAUGCAUAGGAACUGUAUUUGACCAUUAAAUGUAAUAAUAUGAAAAUAAUGUUAUGUCAAAAUAUCUUUUCCAAAUGAAAUAAAGACCCAACCUUGAAAUUUCUAAUCUUCUUGUUGCUAGAACCUACUCUUUUGUGUUCAUUAACAGUGAGUACUCAAAUCUUUUCGGAAUGUUUCACACCAACACUAAUGAUAAUAAAAGUAAAAUCUUAGAAUGUUCUUUGUAAUUUGU